rnacentral:rRNA from 1 species
CUCUUGGUUCUGGCAUCGAUGAAGAACGCAGCGAAAUGCGAUAAGUAAUGCGAAUUGCAGAAUUUCCGUGAGUCAUCGAAUCUUUGAACGCACAUUGCGCCCACUGGUAUUCCGGUGGGCAUGCCUGUUCGAGCGUCAUUAUCCUCCCUCAAACCCCGUGUUUGGUGUUGGG